ACUGAAGUUUAGUUGCGCUUUCUACUUUGACAAAGUGAUUGCGUGCUAGAAAUAUUUUCAAAUCAAAACAAACUAGCAGAUUCUAUUUUCCGGACCAGAGAGAUAUGAACUUUGAAAAGAAGAGGGGGUUUCCCUCUAGAUACCAUGGAAGUAAAACGAAGAAAGCAAUAAGCAUCUUAAUAACAGUGGUCUGUGUCUGCUGGCAAAUAAAUGGAGCGACCGGAACAACAACUGCAGCCCCAACCACAACAAGCCCACCAACAACAACUAUUGCCCCAAGUACAACAAGUGCUCCAACAACAACAGCAGCCCCUACCACAACAAGCCCACCAACAACAACUAUGGCCCCAAGUACAACAAGUGCUCCAACAACAACAGCAGCCCCUACCACAACAAGCCCACCAACAACAACUAUUGCCCCAACUACAACAGGUGCUCCAACAACUACUGAAGCCCCUACGACAACAGGCCCACCAACAACAACAAGUAUGGCCCCAACAACAACAAGUGCUCCAACAACAACUAAGUCCCCUACCACAACAAACCCACCAACAACAACUAUGGCACCAACUACAACAAGUGCUCCAACAACAACAGCAGCCCCUACCACAACAAGCCCACC